CAACUCUUUCCCCUCCCUCUCCCUCUUCCAAAUGACUUCUGAUCAUCAAUCUACUGCUCAUUGAUUCACCACAACCCCAUCGAUCCAUCCAAUUUAGGCUAUUUAAUUCUCAGAUCCAAGGGAUUGAGAGAGAAAAUGUUGACGAAGUUUGAGACCAAGAGUAAUAGAGUGAAAGGUCUGAGUUUCCACAGCAAGCGGCCAUGGAUCUUGGCUAGCCUUCACAGUGGUGUGAUCCAGCUAUGGGAUUACCGGAUGGGCACUCUCAUUGAUCGUUUUGAUGAGCAUGACGGCCCCGUUCGUGGCGUGCACUUUCAUCAAUCACAGCCUCUUUUCGUUUCCGGAGGAGAUGAUUACAAGAUCAAAGUAUGGAACUAUAAACUGCAUCGGUGUUUGUUUACGCUGCUUGGCCAUCUUGAUUAUAUACGCACAGUUCAGUUUCACCAUGAGAACCCCUGGAUUGUUAGUGCUAGUGAUGAUCAAACUAUCCGGAUAUGGAAUUGGCAAUCUCGUACUUGUAUAUCCGUUUUGACUGGGCACAACCAUUAUGUAAUGUGUGCUUUGUUCCAUCCGAAGGAGGACCUCGUGGUAUCAGCAUCAUUGGAUCAGACCGUUCGAGUUUGGGAUAUUGGUGCCCUGAAGAAGAAAACAGUUUCCCCUGCUGAUGAUAUCCUUCGGCUGAGUCAGAUGAAUACAGAUUUUUUUGGAGGGGUUGAUGCUGUUGUGAAGUAUGUCUUGGAGGGCCAUGAUCGAGGAGUCAAUUGGGCAUCAUUCCAUCCCACUCUUCCUCUUAUUGUUUCAGGAGCUGAUGAUCGCCAAGUUAAAAUCUGGCGAAUGAAUGAUACAAAAGCUUGGGAAGUAGACACAUUGAGAGGUCACAUGAAUAAUGUAUCAUGUGUUCUUUUCCAUGCAAGACAGGACAUUAUAGUAUCAAACUCAGAGGAUAAAAGUAUACGUGUUUGGGAUGCUACAAAAAGGACAGGCCUGCAAACUUUCCGCAGGGAGCAUGACAGGUUCUGGAUUCUUGGGUGUCAUCCUGAGAUGAACCUUCUGGCGGCUGGCCAUGAUAGUGGUAUGAUUGUUUUCAAGUUGGAGAGAGAACGCCCAGCUUUCUCUGUUAGCGGUGAUUCCCUGUACUUCGUGAAAGACCGUUUUCUGCGGUUCUAUGAGUACUCUUCUCAGAAAGACACUCAAAUAUUACCAAUCCGUAGGCCUGGGUCUAUCAGCUUGAACCAGGGUCCUAGAACUCUCUCUUAUAGCCCUACUGAAAAUGCGGUUCUAAUAUGUUCAGAGGUAGAUGGGGGAUCUUAUGAACUCUAUAUCAUACCUAAAGAUAGUUUUAGUAGAGGUGAUACAGUUCAAGAGGCAAAACGAGGAAUUGGGGGAUCUGCAGUUUUUGUGGCUCGAAAUAGGUUUGCAGUUCUUGAGAAGAGCACCAAUCAAGUGUUAGUCAAGAACUUAAAGAAUGAGAUUGUGAAGAAGAGUCCUCUUCCUGUUGUCACUGAUGCUAUAUUCUAUGCCGGUACAGGUAACUUGUUAUGCAGGGCAGAGGAUAGAGUGUUCAUCUUUGACCUUCAACAGCGAAUGGUUCUUGGUGACCUUCAAACUUCUUUUGUAAGAUAUGUUGUUUGGUCAAAUGACAUGGAGAGUGUUGCUUUGCUUAGCAAACAUUCAAUAAUCAUAGCUGAUAAGAAGCUUGUUCACCGCUGCACCCUUCAUGAAACAAUCCGAGUCAAGAGUGGAUCCUGGGAUGAUAAUGGUGUGUUCAUUUACACAACCCUAACCCAUAUCAAGUACUGCCUUCCUAAUGGGGACAGUGGAAUCAUCAGGACACUUGAUGUUCCGGUGUACAUCACAAAGAUAUUUGGAAAUACAAUUUUUUGCUUGGACCGAGAUGGGAAAAACCGCCCAAUAAUUAUUGAUUCAACUGAGUAUAUCUUCAAGCUAUCUCUGCUGAAAAAGAGAUAUGACCACGUAAUGAGCAUGAUAAGGAACUCAGAGCUGUGCGGGCAAGCCAUGAUUGCAUAUCUCCAGCAAAAAGGUUUCCCAGAGGUUGCUCUCCAUUUCGUGAAGGAUGAGAGAACUCGCUUCAAUUUAGCACUUGAAAGUGGAAACAUCCAGAUAGCUGUUGCUUCUGCAAAAGAGAUUGAUGAGAAAGAUCACUGGUAUAGGUUGGGCGUUGAGGCCCUUCGUCAGGGCAAUUCUGGUAUUGUUGAAUAUGCAUACCAGAGGACGAAAAACUUUGAGAGGCUAUCCUUCCUGUAUCUGAUAACAGGAAAUUUGGAUAAAUUGUCCAAAAUGAUGAAAAUCGCUGAGGUAAAAAAUGAUGUUAUGGGGCAGUUCCAUAAUGCUUUGUACCUGGGUGAUGUCCAAGAGCGAAUCAAGAUUUUGAUAAAUGCUGGUCAUCUACCACUAGCAUAUGCUACUGCUAAGACCCAUGGAUUGAACGAUAUUGUCGAAGACCUUGCUGAUAAACUUGAAGGUAAUGUUCCUUCUUUGCCCAGUGGUGGGUCUGCUUCUCUUUUGAUGCCCCCAACUCCCGUCUUAUGCGGUGGAGACUGGCCAUUACUGAGGGUCAUGAAAGGGAUCUUUGAGGGUGGCCUUGACAAUAUUGGAAGGGGUACAAAUGAAGAGUAUGAAGAUGCUGGUGAUGCUGAUUGGGGUGAGGAUGUGGAUAUUGUGGAUGUAGAGAACAUUCAGAAUGGAGAUAUCAGCAUGGUGCUGGAUGAUGAAGAAGCACCUGAAGAAAAUGAAGAGGGAGGUUGGGAUCUCGAGGAUCUUGAACUUCCUCCUGAUAUUGAAACCCCCAAAGCUACGACUGCUGCCCGCUCUUCAGUAUUUGUGGCACCUACUGCUGGUAUGCCCGUCAGCCAGAUUUGGGUGCAGAAAUCAUCUCUUGCUGCUGAACAUGCAGCAGCUGGAAACUUUGACACUGCGAUGCGCUUGCUAAGCCGGCAGCUCGGAAUAAAGAACUUUGCACCGUUAAAAUCAUUGUUUAUUGAUCUUCACAUGGGAAGUCAUACUUACUUGCGUGCGUUCUCAUCAGCUCCAUUGAUCUCCCUGGCCAUCGAGAGGGGUUGGAGCGAAUCAGCAAGUCCUAAUGUCCGGGCCCCUCCUGCACUCGUGUUUAAUUUCCCUCAGUUGGAAGAAAAGCUCAAGGCUGGUUACAAAGCCACCACCACUGGGAAGUUCACUGAAGCUUUGCGACUUUUUCUGGGUAUUCUUCAUACGAUUCCCCUGAUUGUUGUCGAGUCAAGAAGAGAGGUGGAUGAAGUUAAAGAGUUGAUUAUUAUUGUGAAAGAGUAUGUUCUGGGUUUACAGAUGGAACUUAAAAGAAGAGAACUGAAGGACAACCCGGUUCGUCAACAGGAACUGGCCGCUUACUUCACUCACUGUAACCUUCAGCUACCACACUUGAGACUUGCCUUGAUGAAUGCUAUGACUGUAUGCUACAAGGCUGGUAAUCUAAUCACAGCAUCAAACUUUGCCAGGAGGCUCAUGGAGACCAACCCAACUGCAGAAAACCAAACCAGAACUGCCCGUUCAGUUAUGCAGGCUGCUGAGAGGAACAUGAAAGAUUCCACACAGCUGAAUUAUGACUUCAGAAAUCCAUUUGUCGUUUGUGGAGCAACUUAUGUCCCUAUAUACCGGGGACAGAAGGAUGUAUUAUGCCCAUACUGCAGUUCACACUUUGUUCUUUCCCAGGAAGGGCAGCUUUGUACUGUUUGUGACCUAGCCGUGGUCGGAUCAGAUGCUUCUGGUUUGCUAUGUUCUCCAGCACAGAUCAGAUGAUUCAAAAAGUAACCCUGACAGGCUUGCCAGCCUCAGUUCUUUGGGCUCUGAUGCAAGGGUGUGGCUAUAUGCAUCAUCAAUUAGGUACAUCAAACUCGGGGAUACAGCACACUUAAUCGCUUAUGGCAUGGUCGGUAUAAGUGGUGGGGAAUACUUACUGCAGAUGGGUGGUGUUUUGUGGGAUGUUUGAAUAUUUUUGGGUGAUGGUGCUAUUCUUGUAUCUAUCAUGAGUAGGCAGGCAGCAGGGAGGCCAGCACAGUAAACUGUAGAGUAAAUUUUGUUUUCAGAUGUCUUGAAAGGUAUAUUGGGAAUGGGAACAUGCAUGCCUAGGGUUCCAUAUUUUUAUGUUGGAAUAUUUGUUCAACUACUACUGACUGCCUGCUUUAAGAUGUAGUAGUAACCAAUUAAUAUUUGCUUUGAUUUCAGGUCUUGUUCAAAUCACACAUUUUG